GGGGUCGGCCGUACGAGGCGCCUCGUUCGCAUCGAGGGGGUCAGGGGUUCAAAUCCCCUCAGCUCCA
rnacentral:tRNA from 1 species